UGAUGCAUGCAACGAGUGCCAACGCUCCUGGGUCGAGAGGCCCGGGUAACCUGUUGAACGUGCAUCGUGAUAGGGAUAGAUCUUUGUAAUUAUCGAUCUUGAACGAGGAAUUCCUADUAAACGCGAGUCAUCAGCUCGCAUUGAUUACGUCCCUGCCCUUUGUACACACCGCCCGUCGCACCUACCGAUUGAAUGUUUCGGUGAAGAUUCCGGACCGUGUCUCGCGCGCUUCACGGCGCGCUUGCCGUGGGAAKUUAUCUAAACCUCAAC
rnacentral:rRNA from 1 species